UACGGGGGGGGCAAGCGUUGUUCGGAAUUACUGGGCGUAAAGCGAGUGUAGGUGGUUUGCUAAGUCAGGUGUGAAAUCCCAGGGCUCAACCCUGGAACUGCAUUUGAUACUGGCAGGCUAGAGUGUGGUAGAGGAUAGUGGAAUUCCCGGUGUAGCGGUGAAAUGCGUAGAUAUCGGGAGGAACAUCAGUGGCGAAGGCGGCUAUCUGGACUAACACUGACACUGAGACUCGAAAGCGUGGGGAGCAAACAGG
rnacentral:rRNA from 1 species